rnacentral:rRNA from 1 species
GACGAACGCUGGCGGCGUGCUUAACACAUGCAAGUCGAACGGAAAGGCCCUGCUUUUGUGGGGUGCUCGAGUGGCGAACGGGUGAGUAACACGUGAGUAACCUGCCCUUGACUUUGGGAUAACUUCAGGAAACUGGGGCUAAUACCGGAUAGGAGCUCCUGCUGCAUGGUGGGGGUUGGAAAGUUUCGGCGGUUGGGGAUGGACUCGCGGCUUAUCAGCUUGUUGGUGGGGUAGUGGCUUACCAAGGCUUUGACGGGUAGCCGGCCUGAGAGGGUGACCGGCCACCAUGGGACUGAGAUACGGCCCAGACGCCUACGGGAGGCAGCAGUGGGGAAUAUUGCACAAUGGGCGGAAGCCUGAUGCAGCAACGCCGCGUGCGGGAUGACGGCCUUCGGGUUGUAAACCGCUUUCGCCUGUGACGAAGCGUGAGUGACGGUAAUGGGUAAAGAAGCACCGGCUAACUACGUG